rnacentral:rRNA from 1 species
ACUCAAAGGAAUAGACGGGGACCCGCACAAGCGGUGGAGCGUGUGGUUUAAUUCGAGGCUACGCGAAGAACCUUACCAAGGUUUGACAUCCCAGGAAGUUUGCCGAAAGGCAGACGUGCCGCAAGGAACCUGGUGACAGGUGAUGCAUGGCCGUCGUCAGCUCGUGUCGUGAGAUGUCAGGUUAAGUCCUUCAACGAGCGCAACCCUCAUGAUUAGUUGUAUAUGUCUAAUCAGACUGCCUCGGUAACGGGGAGGAAGGAGGGGAUGACGCCAGGUCAGCAUGUCCCUUACACCUUGGGCUACACACACGCUACAAUGGCCGGUACAAUGAGCUGCUAAGUCGCGAGAUGGAGCUAACCUCAUCAAAACCGGUCCCAGUUCGGAUUGUAGGCUGAAACUCGCCUGCAUGAAGUUGGAAUCGCUAGUAAUCGUAGGUCAGCACACUACGGUGAAUACGUUCCCGGGUCUUGUACACACCGCCCGU